rnacentral:lncRNA from 1 species
GCGGUGGUUAGAUAUGGAAAUGGUAGGGAGACAAAAAUAUGCAUGUGAAAUAAAGCUCAGUAAUUUAAUAAAAAAAAAAAGUUUAAGUCUGCAGAAGUUUCUGCUGCAUUUUGUUCAGCUAUUCUCUGCCUCUAGAGUGGAGUCUACAGAGGCAGGCAGGCCUCCUUGAGCUGCGGAGGGUAUUGGGAUGGACUUGGUCUUGUCCUUGGUCUCUAAGGCAGUGCUGAGCACCUGGUUGGAUCCUGAAUUGUAG